CCACUUGAGAAGGUGGGAUGAACACAAAUACUUGAAGAGCUCUAGCAGCUUUAGUCUCAACUUCUAGCUCGGGGGCUACAAGUGUAGCCUCAACUCCAGAAGUAGUCGCCACCUCAUCCUCGGUCUCCGCCUUCGGCUCGAGGGCUACAAAUGUAUCCACCACACCAGAAGUAGUCGUCGCAAUCGGCUCGACUACUGGCAGCUCAGGGGCUAGCACUACAGCGACAUUAAGCGAUUCAAU
rnacentral:lncRNA from 1 species